rnacentral:rRNA from 1 species
UACGUAGGGGGCAAGCGUUGUCCGGAAUCAUUGGGCGUAAAGAGCGUGUAGGCGGUUCGGUAAGUCGGCUGUGAAAGUCCAGGGCUCAACCCUGGGAUGCCGGUGGAUACUGUCGGACUAGAGUACGGAAGAGGCGAGUGGAAUUCCCGGUGUAGCGGUGAAAUGCGCAGAUAUCGGGAGGAACACCAAUUGCGAAGGCAGCUCGCUGGGACGUUACUGACGCUGAGACGCGAAAGCGUGGGGAGCAAACAGG